rnacentral:tRNA from 1 species
GGUGGCUCAGUGGCAGAGCGCUUGCCUUGCAUGCGGGAGGCCCUGGGUUCAAUUCCUCAGCACCA